AAGUCUUAACUUAGGAAUUGUUGGAGAUCGGCUUCUUUGUUUCGGAUUCCUGAUUUCCAACAAUUUCUUAUUUUUGAUUUU